GAUAUCCCAAAAUCCUGACCUUCAAAUUGCUACCUUGUCCUUUUCUCUUGAAUGAACUAGUACAUUCUUAGGAUGGCAGAGGGCCAUAUUAGAACACUAACCUUCGCCUUUACACGGAUAUAACCACUUUCACCAAGAGGUGCUCUCUAGUUGCAGACGACACGAUGUUUACAUCGCUGACUGUCUGGCUGCUAUAUCCAUUCCACUGUCGUCCCAUUGUGUUCACAAUAUAGGUUGUGGAGUAUGACCAUGAGAGGGGGAAGAUAAACUCCCUGACAAAGGAUGAGUCAGACCCUAGAGCCCUCUCCUACAUCUACAAUCAUGAAGGCACCUACACUCUGUUCUACAUCAAGAUGGCCAAUUUGGCUGACCCUGUCCUUGAUGAUAUCAAAGAAGUCUGCCAAAGCCCAGUAACACAAGAGGACCAAGUCAUAAAGGUCAAUAAACCAGUAGAGAAUGCUGUCGCCUUACUGCUUCUUGAUGAGAAUAUAGCUUCUCCAAAGGUAAGGAGAGCGAGUAACUGCAGAAGGUCUCUUCCUAAUAUGGAACAAACCAAUGUUGUAGUUUUUGUAUGGUAAAACCAAGUUAGAUAGAUUGAGAAAUAAUAUUAUUGCAUACUCAAAUAUUCUAGCUACUGUACAUCAUCUCAAUUGCCAACAUGAGAUAUUUAAUGAGAUCAUCUUUGGACAUAAUGUUAGCUUCUCAUUUGAAGGGCCUGGAUGACUUGGAAAUGUUAAAUUCCAUGCCUAGCUCUCCGUCAGGGCAACCAAAGCAGAUCUCAUCCAGGGACGAGCUGAUGGACAUCUUCUCUUUCCCCAGUCAAAACUCUGACAUGAAUCAACCAGGAUCUCCACAGUCUCUGUCAGUUCCUCAGAUAUUUUCCACCUUCCCUGGUCAGCCGAUCACUGUUGCAUCAUUCAUCUCACCUCCUGUUUCAAUACCUUGGUGUCAGCAAGGGCCCCUCCCAACUCUCUCACCCAGCUCAAAUGGAUCCUGGGGGGCUCCGGCCCCCUGGCCUUCCCAGCCCAACAUGACUGGAUGGAUCCCGGGGCCGGGUGGCAUGAUGCCCUAUGGAGGCCCCCAGCUGCAGGGGUACGGAGUGAACCCACAGCCAGGGGUUAUGUGGGGACAGAACACAAUGCGCUUUCCCACCUCUGCCCCAAACUACACACCCUACAGGGCAGAGGGACUCCAGCAGCAGCCCGGCUCUCCUACCACCAACAACAAACCAGCCCAAGGAUGAACUGGCUUAGAGAGCCAAUGAAAUGUCCCUGUUGUCUUCAUGUCUGUAUGCUUGGCAUUGUCAGGGUCGGAUUACAGAACGGGCAUGCAGGGCACGACCUUCUAUGCCCCCUGAUGUUCCAGGGUCCCCAGAUAGCAUAUUAUACCAAAAUGUGUAGAAUUACAGAAAAGGUGCUUUAAAACUGCAACCUUUUCUCUCCGCCUCAUGGCAAAAUGUGAACAAUGGCAUGAGAUGAGCUGUAAAACAGAACAUUCUUCUCUCUGACCCAUGGCAAAAAGUGUAGAAUUGCAGGAAAUUAACUUUACAACUGCAAGAUUUUCUCAUAGCCUCAUAACACAAGGUAUAGAAUAGCAUUAUAAAACUACAAAUGUUUUAAGGAAGUUAGCAGUUUUCCUAUUAAAAAAAAUGUCUGGAUGCCCAAAAUGCAGUAGUCCGGCCCUGUGCGUUGUCUUUCAGUACUUAGUAGUGCCUUUUCCAUAUGUAUGUAUUCCGUAUUCCAUUCCGUAUGUAUGAAUCUGUUUACUAGGGUGCAGUUCUACAUUGCUUUUGAUAAUGUACAUUUGUGAAUUUGAGCUCAACAGCAAUUAUAUCUGUAGAUUGUUCAGUAGACUUUACUUUUUUUGACAGGAUCAUUUAGAUGAAGAAGUAAGACGAAAAUUCAAUUCAAAUGCUGUAGUUUUGGAGGGAUCUCACAGAGCUGAACUUGUUUACAAUUCUGAGAAUUCACAUGAAAGACAAAUUUGACAUUAUUUUCAAAUGUAUUUUCUCCAUCUAUGUAAACAAGAUAAAGUGGUUAUGUUUAUGUUCUAGAAAGUGAAUUCCAUGCAUGCUGUGGGUCUCAUGAUGGGAUUAGUGUUCAUAAAUCAUGUUUGUGUAGAUAUUUAAAUCAAGUAAUGAGGGUUGAAUAGAUUUGAGUAUCUCGUUUUUCAAGAGGGACAUACACUUUGUAAUGGUAAUCAUCAAAAGUCAUGGAAAUAAAUUGUGUCAUGGAUGUCAUAAUAAAAAUGCAUAUCUUACGGUAAUAUACUCUACAGAUUCAUCAUCUUAUGGUCUAAA
ensembl:lncRNA